GGCCGGUUGGCCCAAUGGUAAGGCGUCUGACUACGAUAUUAACGUUAAUCAGGAGAUUCUGGGUUCGAGCCCCAGGCUGGUCA